ensembl:lincRNA
AGUGGGUCAUUGUUGCUAAUGAUUAUGCAAAAGUGUGGCCAAAGACACAUGAGUUUAGUUUUGUUGUGCUCCUUCUUUGCCUUCCUUAGCCAUAAAAGGGGGACAAAAUUCAGCACCAUACUGAAGAAUGAAGUAACUUCAAAUUCAUGCUAAGUCUCUAAGCACUAGAUUUGCCAGGCAUAAUAUUAGUACUAUAAAGCGUUAGAUGAAAAGUUCAUUCCAGAAUACCUCUUCAAGUCAGAAAACUAAAGUAUUUUCUUUGCUAGUUACAAUAAUCUUCCCUUUCCUUGUGUCAAGAAAGACAAUGGAGAGACGAGGCAGCCAGAAUCCCCGUGACUUUCGUAUCUAUUUUACUGAAGGUUGUACAACCCAGAGAAAUUAAUUCCACAAGGGGGAGACAGGGUCAUGCUAAAUUUCCUGAGAUGGCGAAAAAGAAUAAAGCUGUUGGAGGACUUCCAGAGACUUUUUAGGGCCAGUCAGAUUGCCUGCUCUUCCUUUAAUCCCACCACUCACUGGGCCAGUAGAGAAAAAGCUAGAAGGCCACAGAAGCUGAAGCUCGUUCCCAAGCAGACCUUUUAAUGAAGACAACAAGCGGCUUCCAACUUGACCUUGUUCUUCCACCUUAGCCUGUGACACCCCUGUCCACCAACCCUCUUUCUCCUAGCAACCAAAUUCUGUUCUCCCCUCCACUUCCUGUUCUCAGGCCUUCUCUUAGUCUUCCUGGGGGAGGAACUAAAACCCCCGCUGCCCGCCAGGUGUGCUUCCUCCCAGAGCACUGGCAGCCUGUGGGAUUUCCAGCUGGCAAGCAGGGAGGCACCUCGAAGCCGACAGGCCGCAGGGAAACCUGAAAGCCAUGCUGUGGGUCCCCAGGAGACGAGCAACAACUCAGCCGCCAUGUUUGCUGCUUCCUGGGCAGCUCCAGGUUGCUGUCUGUGCGUCAGAGUGGGCCUUCCGGAAGGAGAGGGUCUAGCUUGGGUACUCAAGUGCUUCAGGGCUCGCAUUACUGAUCGUUCAUCAAACUCACUUCUGUGAGCUCCUUGGACACCUCUGGCUUCACCGCCGCCCUGCCUCAACCCACCUUCCACUGCAGCCGCCGUCACCUGUCCUAUCUGAUAGAACGUGAGUCUGGGGACCCCUGACAGAGGGACCGGCCUUUGGCUUCAGUUUCAGAACCCCGGCAAGGGCAUCUGGGGCCACUCAGACAGGCAGCAGCAGUGGGCCCGGUGCCCAGCAGGCAAAGGGCUGAGCACAAGCGCUGGGUGGGGCUGAGCUGGGGGCCACAAGGACUCCCAGCGCUGACCGCUUGCCAGUCACCAGGACUGUUUUCUGUCGUGGCUUCGGCAAGAAGGAAGCUGCAAAGCCUGAGCCAGAAUGUCGCAGGCAGGGGCAUCAGCAUAAGGAGCGGCAGAUGCAAAAGCCCGGGGCAGAGGGCAACUAGCUCCCACAGGAGGCUCCAUCUCUGAUGGAGGAUGCAGCUGCUGGUGUGAGCGGGUCAUGCCACGGUGCUUGUGGAUGACAAAGAACACAACACUUAUAUGGACCGCCCCCCCCACCGGGGGUACUGACAGUGUGGUAAAGCGUACCCUAUUCUUUCCGAGGACUUAUCGGUUUUAGUUUUGUCUUUUCUGUGUAUAACUUGUUGUUCAAUUUUGAUUUAAAAUCUUUAAUGAUGACAGCACAGCCAAAAGGUCCAUCGGCCAGCAAACGGAUAAACAACACAUGGUACAUACAUACGAUGGAGUAUUAUUCAUCCUUAAACAGGAAGGAAAUCCUGACACAUUCGACAGCUUGACUGAACCUUCAAAACAUGAUGCUAAGCACAUAAGAAGUAACACAUGCCUUGGAAGGAGUAACAAAGGGACAAAUUCAUCGUAAUUCCACUUCCGUGAGGAACCUGUCACCAUAUUCAGAGAGACAGGAAGCAGAAGGCAGCUGCUGAGGUUGAGGAGCCGAGGCAGGUGCUGGCGUUUCGCAGAUCCCGUUUUAGUUGGGGAACAGGAAAUAUCCUGCAUCGGCGAUGGUGACCGUUGUACAAUGCUGUGGAUGUACUCAGUACCCCUGGACUGCUCACAGGAAAAUGAUUAAAAUGGCAAAUUUUAUGUUAUAUAUCUUUUACCACAAUGCACUUUAGAAAAUACUUCAAGCUUACAGGAAAGUGCAUAUAACAACCACUUGCACAAGUUCCUGGAUUUAAUAAAUGCUUGCAUUUCACCAUGUUUGCUGCUCUUUUUUUGAAGUAAUAAAUCAUCACAGAUGCAAUAAUCCUUUCUUCCCCCUCCAUCCAUUUCAUUCCUCU